rnacentral:snRNA from 1 species
GGAUCUUAGACAAAAGGUCAGUCCAGGUACUAAAGAUGGAACCGUACAGAGGAGACGAGCUUGGCCUCUGGGCAAGGAUGACUUGCAACUUUAUGGAGGGCUCCAUAUUUUA